rnacentral:rRNA from 1 species
AGAGUUUGAUCUUGGCUCAGGAUGAACGCUGGCGGCGUGCCUAAUACAUGCAAGUCGAGCGAACGGACGAGAAGCUUGCUUCUCUGAUGUUAGCGGCGGACGGGUGAGUAACACGUGGAUAACCUACCUAUAAGACUGGGAUAACUUCGGGAAACCGGAGCUAAUACCGGAUAAUAUUUUGAACCGCAUGGUUCAAAAGUGAAAGACGGUCUUGCUGUCACUUAUAGAUGGAUCCGCGCUGCAUUAGCUAGUUGGUAAGGUAACGGCUUACCAAGGCAACGAUGCAUAGCCGACCUGAGAGGGUGAUCGGCCACACUGGAACUGAGACACGGUCCAGACUCCUACGGGAGGCAGCAGUAGGGAAUCUUCCGCAAUGGGCGAAAGCCUGACGGAGCAACGCCGCGUGAGUGAUGAAGGUCUUCGGAUCGUAAAACUCUGUUAUUAGGGAAGAACAUAUGUGUAAGUAACUGUGCACAUCUUGACGGUACCUAAUCAGAAAGCCACGGCUAACUACGUGCCAGCAGCCGCGGUAAUACGUAGGUGGCAAGCGUUAUCCGGAAUUAUUGGGCGUAAAGCGCGCGUAGGCGGUUUUUUAAGUCUGAUGUGAAAGCCCACGGCUCAACCGUGGAGGGUCAUUGGAAACUGGAAAACUUGAGUGCAGAAGAGGAAAGUGGAAUUCCAUGUGUAGCGGUGAAAUGCGCAGAGAUAUGGAGGAACACCAGUGGCGAAGGCGACUUUCUGGUCUGUAACUGACGCUGAUGUGCGAAAGCGUGGGGAUCAAACAGGAUUAGAUACCCUGGUAGUCCACGCCGUAAACGAUGAGUGCUAAGUGUUAGGGGGUUUCCGCCCCUUAGUGCUGCAGCUAACGCAUUAAGCACUCCGCCUGGGGAGUACGACCGCAAGGUUGAAACUCAAAGGAAUUGACGGGGACCCGCACAAGCGGUGGAGCAUGUGGUUUAAUUCGAAGCAACGCGAAGAACCUUACCAAAUCUUGACAUCCUUUGACAACUCUAGAGAUAGAGCCUUCCCCUUCGGGGGACAAAGUGACAGGUGGUGCAUGGUUGUCGUCAGCUCGUGUCGUGAGAUGUUGGGUUAAGUCCCGCAACGAGCGCAACCCUUAAGCUUAGUUGCCAUCAUUAAGUUGGGCACUCUAAGUUGACUGCCGGUGACAAACCGGAGGAAGGUGGGGAUGACGUCAAAUCAUCAUGCCCCUUAUGAUUUGGGCUACACACGUGCUACAAUGGACAAUACAAAGGGCAGCGAAACCGCGAGGUCAAGCAAAUCCCAUAAAGUUGUUCUCAGUUCGGAUUGUAGUCUGCAACUCGACUACAUGAAGCUGGAAUCGCUAGUAAUCGUAGAUCAGCAUGCUACGGUGAAUACGUUCCCGGGUCUUGUACACACCGCCCGUCACACCACGAGAGUUUGUAACACCCGAAGCCGGUGGAGUAACCUUUUAGGAGCUAGCCGUCGAAGGUGGGACAAAUGAUUGGGGUGAAGUCGUAACAAGGUAGCCGUAUCGGAAGGUGCGGCUGGAUCACCU